rnacentral:rRNA from 1 species
UACGUAGGGUGCGAGCGUUGCCCGGAUUUAUUGGGCGUAAAGGGCGCGGUAGGCGCCACGCACGUCCGUUGUGAAAUCGCCCGGCUCAACUGGGCGGGGUCGGCGGAUACGGCGUGGCUGGAGCAAGCUAGGGGGCAAUGGAAUUCCCGGUGUAGUGGUGGAGUGCGUAGAUAUCGGGAGGAACACCAGUGGCGAAGGCGGUUGCCUGGAGCUUUGCUGAGCGCUGAGGCGCGAAAGCGUGGGGAGCGAUCCGG